GAAAACUAAUGCUCACCGUUACAUAUCAAAUGAGUAUACAAUUGCUUCGUUCAUAAACCGUAAAAUUUAUGCUGACGCCAUAUAUCAUGACAACAUUGUUUCAAUUCACUGGCACUUAGGAAAUAUAACUGCAACAGAUUAUUUGAUGGACCUCUGCCACAUCGACAACACGACAGCCAGUGGGGAAGGGGACGAGUGUAUAACGAUAAACAAUAACUGCACCAUCAGUGGUACCAGAAACAAAAAUGGCAUCAUCUGCACACUUUGGGACCUGAACGGGCAGUACAAGAUCCACCUGACUCAUCUCACCCCGUGGAAGUCUGGCAGCGUGUUCAUUAAUCAGGCGUACUCACAUUACA